AGCGAACGCUGGCGGCAGGCUUAACACAUGCAAGUCGAACGCGCCGCAAGGGGAGUGGCAGACGGGUGAGUAACACGUGGGAACGUACCCUUUGGUUCGGAAUAACUUGGGGAAACUCAAGCUAAUACCGGAUAAGCCCUUAUGGGGAAAGGUUUACUGCCGAAGGAUCGGCCCGCGUCUGAUUAGCUAGUUGGUGAGGUAAUGGCUCACCAAGGCGACGAUCAGUAGCUGGUCUGAGAGGAUGAUCAGCCACACUGGGACUGAGACACGGCCCAGACUCCUACGGGAGGCGGCAGUGGGGAAUAUUGGACAAUGGGGGCAACCCUGAUCCAGCCAUGCCGCGUGAGUGAUGAAGGCCUUAGGGUUGUAAAGCUCUUUUACCCGGGACGAUAAUGACUGUACCGGGAGAAUGAGCUCCGGCUAACUCCGUGCCAGCCGCCGCGGUAA
rnacentral:rRNA from 1 species